rnacentral:rRNA from 2 species
GGGAGGAAAAGAAACUAACAAGGAUUUUCUUAGUAGCGGCGAGCGAAAAGAAAAUAGUUCAGCACUAAGUCACUUUGUCUUUAUGGCAAAUGUGAGAUGCAGUGUAUGGAAUGUCAAAUUUCUAGUAUGAGAAAUUAACGAUUUAAGUCCUUCUUAAAUGAGACCAUUUACCCAAAGAGGGUGCCAGGCCCGUAUAACGUUAAUGAUUACUAGAUGGCAUUUCCAAAGAGUCGUGUUGCUUGAUAGUGCAGCACUAAGUGGGUGGUAAACUCCAUCUAAAACUAAAUAUAACCAUGAGACCGAUAGUAAACAAGUACCGUGAGGGAAAGUUGAAAAGAACUCUGAAUAGAGAGUUAAAUAGUACGUGAAACUGCUUAGAGGUUAAGCCCGAUGAACCUGAAUAUCCGUUAUGGAAAAUUCAUCUUUAUGAUUUUAAUAUUUAUAAUAUUAUAAUAAUGGUGUGCAUUUUUUCUAUAAAGGACAUUGUAAUCUAUUAACAUAAAUAUAUUUAUCAUAAGAUCAUUUGCUUAAGUUUAUUCAAAUUAUUUUGCUUGCAUUUUAAUAUCGAAUAAAUGCUUUUGAUUUGAUAAAGUGUUGAUAGAUUUAUUAUAUAUAGUGCUUAAAUAUUUAUAUUUUAUAAUAGCAUAUUGAUCAUUGAUCUUUAUGUUUAUUAUAUGCACUUAUAUGAUUAACAAUGCGAAAGAUUCAGGAUACCUUCGGGACCCGUCUUGAAACACGGACCAAGGAGUCUAACAUAUUUGCAAGUUAUUGGGAAUAAAAACCUAAUAGCGUAAUUAACAUAACUUAAUUUAAUGGGAUUAGUUUUUAGCCUAUUUAUAGUCUAUUAAUUCAAUCCCGGGGCGUUCUAUACAGUUAUGUAUAAUAGUAUUUAUAUUAUUUAUACCUCUAACUAGAGCGUACCUUGAGCAUAUAUGCUGUGACCCGAAAGAUGGUGAACUAUACUUGAUCAGGUUGAAGUCAGGGGAAACCCUGAUGGAAGACCGAAACAG